CAAAAAAUGAAAGAAGCAAUAAAACAAGUAGAAUAAGCACAGAAGUAAAGAAACAAAGAAUCAAAGAAGGAAACAUGUAAAAGAGCUAAGCCAUGAAUGAAUAAGCGAAUGCCAAAUAAUCAAAGAAAUAAAGAAACUGACAAUAAGUAAACAAGUGAAUUGCAUGUAUGGUCGGUCUCAGCAAACAAUGAAGGGAAUAAGAAGGAAGCAAACACACAAAUUAAGAAAUGAAAUGAAGCAAUAUGGAGUUAGCAACGAUCAAAUAAUCAAAGAAACGUACAAACAAGAAGUAAACAAGUUAAAGAUGUAAGUAAAC